rnacentral:rRNA from 1 species
CAGUCGCCACGGGAAUACGUAGGUGGCAAGCGUUGCCCGGAAUUAUUGGGCGUAAAGGGCUCGCAGGCGGUUUCUUAAGUCUGAUGUGAAAGCCCCCGGCUCAACCGGGGAGGGUCAUUGGAAACUGGGAAACUUGAGUGCAGAAGAGGAGAGUGGAAUUCCACGUGUAGCGGUGAAAUGCGUAGAGAUGUGGAGGAACACCAGUGGCGAAGGCGACUCUCCGGUCUGUAACUGACGCUGAGGAGCGAAAGCGUGGGGAGCGAACAGGAUUAGAUACCCCGGUAGUCCCUGUCUCUUAUAC